rnacentral:rRNA from 1 species
CCUACGGGAGGCUGCAGUGGGGAAUAUUGGACAAUGGGGGGAACCCUGAUCCAGCCAUGCCGCGUGUGUGAAGAAGGCCCUCGGGUUGUAAAGCACUUUCAGUGAGGAAGAACGCCUGGUGGUUAAUACCCAUCAGGAAAGACAUCACUCACAGAAGAAGCACCGGCUAACUCCGUGCCAGCAGCCGCGGUAAUACGGAGGGUGCGAGCGUUAAUCGGAAUUACUGGGCGUAAAGCGCGCGUAGGUGGCUUGAUAAGCCGGUUGUGAAAGCCCGGGCUCAACCUGGGAACGGCAUCCGGAACUGUCAAGCUAGAGUGCAGGAGAGGAAGGUAGAAUUCCCGGUGUAGCGGUGAAAUGCGUAGAGAUCGGGAGGAAUACCAGUGGCGAAGGCGGCCUUCUGGACUGACACUGACACUGAGGUGCGAAAGCGUGGGUAGCAAACAGGAUUAGAUACCCGAGUAGUC